GUGCUUACUUCAAUAGCACAUAUUCUAAAAUUGGAACCAUACAGAGACGAUGAGUAUGGCCCCUGUUCAAGGAUGACAUGCAAAUUCAUGAAGUCAUCCAUAUUUUU